rnacentral:misc_RNA from 1 species
GUGAGGACGGAGGUUCAGUCCUCCCAGGCCCACCACUUCGCAAUCCGCAAGGAUUGUCGGAUCUCCUCGAUAUCCGUCGGGAAACACUAUCAGGGGCCGUAGCUCAGCUGGGAGAGCGCCUGCUUUGCAAGCAGGAUGUCGUCGGUUCGAUCCCGUCCGGCUCCACCAACCAUCUUCUGUGAAGGUGGGGCGUGUCGAGUAGAGGAUGAUCGCCCGCGGUCAGUCAUUCGAAAAAGAGUUUGCGGCGCGCUUCGUGCUCUCCGCCUGUUCUGUUUGACAUCGUAAAGAGAAGAUUUGUUCGAACUUCACGGCUGCAAGGCUGUGAUUUGUCGCAAGGACGCUCAAUCCCUUGCCUAUGAUGGGUUUGCCUAACCGCGCCCUCGAACGGAUCUCGAGAAGCUGGUCUUUUUGUGCCAAUUCCAUUGAAGCAAGCCCCGCACAGGGUUUUGCUCAGGCGGCGAUCCUUCGGAUCGCGCAGAUGGGUAUUGGCAAUGAGAACGAUCAAGUGUCUUAAGGGCAAUUGGUGGAUGCCUUGGCAUGCACAGGCGAUGAAGGACGUGAUACGCUGCGAUAAGCUACGGGGAGGUGCGAAUACCCUUUGAUCCGUAGAUCUCCGAAUGGGA